rnacentral:rRNA from 1 species
AACGAACGCUGGCGGCAGGCUUAACACAUGCAAGUCGAACGGGUGUAGCAAUGCAGAGCGGCAGACGGGUGAGUAACGCGUGGGAACCUUCCCAGUGGUACGGAAUAGCCCAGGGAAACUUGGGGUAAUACCGUAUACGCCCGAAAGGGGAAAGAUUUAUCGCCAUUGGAUGGGCCCGCGUAGGAUUAGCUAGUUGGUGAGGUAACGGCUCACCAAGGCGACGAUCCUUAGCUGGUCUGAGAGGAUGAUCAGCCACACUGGGACUGAGACACGGCCCAGACUCCUACGGGAGGCAGCAGUGGGGAAUAUUGGACAAUGGGCGCAAGCCUGAUCCAGCCAUGCCGCGUGAGUGACGAAGGUCUUCGGAUUGUAAAGCUCUUUUGGCGGGGACGAUAAUGACGGUACCCGCAGAAUAAGCCCCGGCUAACUUCGUGCCAGCCGCCGCUGUAAAAC